AAGUAAUAGAGUGAAGAUUAUUCAUCUCAUUCAAUUCUUCUUCACAAUUGGCUUCUAAUCUAUGCCAUAUAUAAAAUCUGCAGAGACUAAUACCAUACACCUAUUCAAGGUUCAAAUAAACAAAAGCGUCUGAGUAACCUAUCGCGCUAAGGAAAGAGAAUCGUUGUCUUAAGUAGCAAAACACUGCAAUCAGGUUGAGCUGAUGUGAUGAUGGUGCUGCAAUGAGCGGAGUCUCCAGGGUUGUUAAUAAAUAGUUAACCUGUCUAGAAUAUGUCUUCAUACAUAUGUCUAGCUACUUUCCGCUGCAAGAUGUUGUUGAUGUUAUAGUAUGUUAUGUCAUACUUUGAGUCUUAAGAGAAUGGUUUCAUAUGAUGUAUAACUUGAUUAAUGAUAUUAAUUAAGUUUUAUGCUGUCUUUCA